rnacentral:rRNA from 1 species
AGGACGAACGCUGGCGGCGUGCUUAACACAUGCAAGUCGAGCGGAAAGGCCCUUCGGGGUACUCGAGCGGCGAACGGGUGAGUAACACGUGAGUAAUCUGCCCCUAGCUCUGGGAUAGCUCCGGGAAACCGGGAUUAAUACCAGAUACGACCACUUUAGACAUCUUCUGUGGUGGAAAGAACUUCGGCUAGGGAUGAACUCGCGGCCUAUCAGCUUGUUGGUGAGGUAACGGCUCACCAAGGCGACGACGGGUAGCCGGCCUGAGAGGGCGACCGGCCACACUGGGACUGAGACACGGCCCAGACUCCUACGGGAGGCAGCAGUGGGGAAUAUUGCGCAAUGGGCGAAAGCCUGACGCAGCGACGCCGCGUGGGGGAUGAAGGCCUUCGGUUGUAAACCCUUUCAGCAGGGACGAAGCGAAAGUGACGGUACCUGCAGAAGAAGCGCCGGCUAACUACGUGCCAGCAGCCGC